AAAUGUAUAAAAAACAUUUAACAAAACUUAAAGGACGCAGUAACCUUGACUGUGAUAAUGUAGCAUAAUCACUCGCCAUUUAAUUGAUGGAUAGUAUGAAUGGUUGAACGAAUAUACCACUGUCUUAAAAAGAAAUACCAAAAAAUUAAAAUAAUAGUUAAGAUGCUAUUUAAAAUUGUAAGACGAAAAGACCCUAUAGAGCUUAACUAUAUUCUCUUUUAAAAAUAAUAGAAAAAACUAAAACAAAGAGAGAAUGGUAGUUUAGUUGGGGCGACUGUCUUCUAAAACAAACGAAGACAAGCAAAGUUAAUAAAAAACUUAUUGUAUAACAAAUUAGUUUAACAAUUAUAAAAAUAGGCUAUAAUGACCAAUUAAAAAUUUAUAAAAAUUUUAAUUAUCAAUAAAUAAAAGCUACCUUAGGGAUAACAGGAUAAUUUCAUUUUAGAGAUCAUAUCGAAAAUGAAGUUUGUCACCUCUAUGUUGAAUUAAGAUAUCCAGAUAAUGCAGAAGUUAUCAAA
rnacentral:rRNA from 1 species